UCGCACCCACUCCUAUCUUCUAAAAACCUCCCGAACCCCUCUCACAACUUCUCAUCUCUCGCCUUCUCCAUCCAACUCCUCCUCUCACGCCCUCUCCGUCCAACUUCUCUCCGGCAAACCCCUCUCCGGCGAACCCCUCUCUGUGAACCUCCCCUCUGAACUCCUCUCCGUCAAGACCGUGGGCAAAAUUUCCUCACCUUAUUCCUUCACCUCUUCGUCAAAUAGCAAAUGCCCUAAUCGUCCCAUUUUCUUUCUUAAACCCAGACACAUUAAAAUCGCGACGGGCGACGACAGCAGAAGAGAGAUGAUUCCCAUCCUCUCCUCUCUCUUCCGAUUGCAUUCUCUGGUUUAAUUUGUCUCUCUCGUUCCGCAAAUCGAUUGCCAGAUUUUUGUUUUAUUUUUUCCUUUGGGUCUUUGAUUCUGAGUUAGGGUUUCCUACUCCUGCUAAGAUUUGUUGUCUAUGGGGGCUUCCAGUGGCGUUCUGACAACCCUUGCAGGGACGGGGCCUUUCCUUCGAAGCAGCUCUUCCACCAGGUCAUUCUCCUUUCCGAGGAGUUUUGGUGCCUUUUAUCGCGUUGGCACGAGAGGACCUUGGCAGAAGAUGGCUCUCCGGAUGAGCCCGCGUUCCGAUGCCUUGGUAGAUCUCAUGGAGAAGCAAUCCGCGGGAGCUAGUGCCUCGGCGCUCAAACAGUUCAAGAUCUCCGCCGAUCGUAAGUAGCAAUUCACUUCCCUUUGUCCUUUUUUAUUCCCCCCAUUUUCCACGUUAGAAAUCUAUGACUUAAUUCUUCGAAUGAAGAUCUUUCUGUCAAAGCUAGAAGUUUACUAGUAGGAAAACAUUCUUUUGCCCCUUUUGCCGUGGGUUGAACUUUAUGCUGCUAGAUGUGUGCAAUCUGGGUUUAUCAAUUUUGGUAGUUGAGGAGUUUAGUCUGUUUGGAUUUGUGAGAUUAACAAAUUUGUUUAAAACCAAAAGUAAUACUUCUGAAGUUCCUAGUUUAGUCGCGAUUCCUAUCUACAUUAACCCUAUUCAGGAGUUAAAAUAGGGAUUUUGAUGUUGAACUAUUUUCAGUUCUUUGUCUUCCUUUCUUAAGUUUAGUCUUCCCUACUUUCUAGAAAUGCUGUCUGCUCUAAUAGCCAUGUCUAGGGUUUUAGGAACUUGCAGGGUGCUCAUGGUGGCGGCCAAGGGUGGGUCCAAGGAAGCAUCAGUGAAGGCGGUGGCCAAGGGGGCGAUGAAGCCCAAGGGGGCCUUUCAUCAGAAGCUGCCUUUGUCUCCAGCGAUGAGCAAAUUCCUCGGCAUCCCAGAAAUCGCACUGGUGGAUGCCGUCAAAAAAUCUGGGAGCACAUCAAAGCAAACCAACUCCAGGCUUCAUCAGAUGAUAAUGCUGGAUUCAUGAUUGAUAUGUUAAAGGAGUGUGGAUUAUCUCACAAAUCAAUAAUUUUUAUCUUGGAUGAGUUUGAUCUUUUUGCUCAGGGGAAACAACGUUUACUUUAUAGUUUGCUUGAUGCAAUGCAAACAAUGACUUCAUGUCUAGUAGAAGUUCCGAUUCUUAGCGCCCCUCUUGUUAGUUCAUGGGCAUUGGAAUUACCAGAGGAUGGCCUACAUGAUCUUGUACAACUUUUAUCGUAAUGCUAUUUUUGUCUUCAUCCUAUUCUGGUAUGUGUUUAUGAACAAUGUUGCAUGGAAUUAUCAAACUUUCAAUUUACCUUUCUUAUGGUUGCAUGGAAUUUACAAAUCUACUAUCUUUAAGAAUGGAUGUGCAUUAUCUCACUAAUAUUAUCUUUAACAUGUUAAUCUAACCUUCCCUGCUUAUCAAUAUGGGCUGCAUUGCUGCAACACUAUUAUGUGAGAUUAUCAUCAACUCCGUGUGGUUUCUACCAGGUUACUGGGUCGUCUUUAACGUAAUGAGGACUGGACUAUUUUGGCUAUGCUUACUAGGUGUCCUUGUGGCUGGGAUGCUUCCCCAUUUCGUAAUGAAGGCACUGAUCCAGCAUUUCAUGCCUACUGACAUACAGAUUGCUAGAGAGUUGGAGAAUGCUUACUAGGUGUCCUUUCUUCCAAGCAUUGCUGGUUAUACCUGAUAAAGCCUCAUGUCUUUCAGGAUGCAGACUAACUUCUCGAAAAAAGAGUUCAGUGUAGGUUUUGUCCCAGUCUCAAGCCGACAAUCCUUUUUGAUCAGUAUAUCUAGUAGAAGUAAGCAUGCAGAUCGUUGUCUUCGAGGCCGAUUAGCUAUUUUGUGUUUUUUUUUGUUUUAAAUUCGAAUGUCACUAUCUACUUUGAAACAGAACUAUUUAGUCUUUGUGUAUAGUUGAAUUCUCUUGUAAAUACUAAUACUUUGUAAUUGAA